GUUAUAUGGUCAAGUGAAGAAGCGCAUACGGUGGAUGCCUUGGCAGUCAGAGGCGAUGAAAGACGUGGUAGCCUGCGAAAAGCUUCGGGGAGUCGGCAAACAGACUGUGAUCCGGAGAUGUCUGAAUGGGGGAACCCAGCCAUCAUAAGAUGGUUAUCUUACACUGAAUACAUAGGUGUAAGAGGCGAACCAGGGGAACUGAAACAUCUAAGUACCCUGAGGAAAAGAAAUCAACCGAGAUUCCCUUAGUAGUGGCGAGCGAACGGGGACCAGCCCUUAAGUUGUAUUGAGAUUAGCGGAACGCUCUGGAAAGUGCGGCCAUAGUGGGUGAUAGCCCUGUACGCGAAAAUCCCUUUGCAAUGAAAUCGAGUAGGACGGGGCACGAGAAACCUUGUCUGAAUAUGGGGGGACCAUCCUCCAAGGCUAAAUACUACUGACUGACCGAUAGUGAACCAGUACCGUGAGGGAAAGGCGAAAAGAACCGCGGAGAGCGGAGUGAAAUAGAUCCUGAAACCGUAUGCGUACAAGCAGUGGGAGCCCACUUUGUUGGGUGACUGCGUACCUUUUGUAUAAUGGGUCAGCGACUUAUUUUCAGUGGCGAGCUUAACCGAAUAGGGGAGGCGUAGCGAAAGCGAGUCUUAAUAGGGCGUCUAGUCGCUGGGAAUAGACCCGAAACCGGGCGAUCUAUCCAUGGGCAGGUUGAAGGUUGGGUAACACUAACUGGAGGACCGAACCGACUACCGUUGAAAAGUUAGCGGAUGACCUGUGGAUCGGAGUGAAAGGCUAAUCAAGCUCGGAGAUAGCUGGUUCUCCUCGAAAGCUAUUUAGGUAGCGCCUCAUGUAUCACUGUAGGGGGUAGAGCACUGUUUCGGCUAGGGGGUCAUCCCGACUUACCAAACCGAUGCAAACUCCGAAUACCUACAAGUGCCGAGCAUGGGAGACACACGGCGGGUGCUAACGUCCGUCGUGAAAAGGGAAACAACCCAGACCGUCAGCUAAGGUCCCAAAGUCAUGGUUAAGUGGGAAACGAUGUGGGAAGGCUUAGACAGCUAGGAGGUUGGCUUAGAAGCAGCCACCCUUUAAAGAAAGCGUAAUAGCUCACUAGUCGAGUCGGCCUGCGCGGAAGAUGUAACGGGGCUCAAACCAUGCACCGAAGCUACGGGUAUCAUCUUAUGAUGAUGCGGUAGAGGAGCGUUCUGUAAGCCUGUGAAGGUGAGUUGAGAAGCUUGCUGGAGGUAUCAGAAGUGCGAAUGCUGACAUGAGUAACGACAAUGGGUGUGAAAAACACCCACGCCGAAAGACCAAGGUUUCCUGCGCAACGUUAAUCGACGCAGGGUUAGUCGGUCCCUAAGGCGAGGCUGAAAAGCGUAGUCGAUGGAAAACAGGUUAAUAUUCCUGUACUUCUGGUUAUUGCGAUGGAGGGACGGAGAAGGCUAGGCCAGCCUGGCGUUGGUAGUCCAGGUUUAAGGUGGUAGGCUGAGAUCUUAGGUAAAUCCGGGAUCUUAAGGCCGAGAGCUGAUGACGAGUGUUCUUUUAGAACAUGAAGUGGUUGAUGCCAUGCUUCCAAGAAAAGCUUCUAAGCUUCAGGUAACCAGGAACCGUACCCCAAACCGACACAGGUGGUUGGGUAGAGAAUACCAAGGCGCUUGAGAGAACUCGGGUGAAGGAACUAGGCAAAAUGGCACCGUAACUUCGGGAGAAGGUGCGCCGGUGAGGGUGAAGCAUUUACUGCGUAAGCCGACGCCGGUCGAAGAUACCAGGCCGCUGCGACUGUUUAUUAAAAACACAGCACUCUGCAAACACGAAAGUGGACGUAUAGGGUGUGACGCCUGCCCGGUGCCGGAAGGUUAAUUGAUGGGGUUAGCGCAAGCGAAGCUCUUGAUCGAAGCCCCGGUAAACGGCGGCCGUAACUAUAACGGUCCUAAGGUAGCGAAAUUCCUUGUCGGGUAAGUUCCGACCUGCACGAAUGGCGUAACGAUGGCGGCGCUGUCUCCACCCGAGACUCAGUGAAAUUGAAAUCGCUGUGAAGAUGCAGUGUAUCCGCGGCUAGACGGAAAGACCCCGUGAACCUUUACUAUAGCUUUGCACUGGACUUUGAAUUUGCUUGUGUAGGAUAGGUGGGAGGCUUUGAAGCGUGGACGCCAGUCUGCGUGGAGCCAACCUUGAAAUACCACCCUGGCAACUUUGAGGUUCUAACUCAGGUCCGUUAUCCGGAUCGAGGACAGUGUAUGGUGGGUAGUUUGACUGGGGCGGUCUCCUCCUAAAGAGUAACGGAGGAGUACGAAGGUGCGCUCAGACCGGUCGGAAAUCGGUCGUAGAGUAUAAAGGCAAAAGCGCGCUUGACUGCGAGACAGACACGUCGAGCAGGUACGAAAGUAGGUCUUAGUGAUCCGGUGGUUCUGUAUGGAAGGGCCAUCGCUCAACGGAUAAAAGGUACUCCGGGGAUAACAGGCUGAUACCGCCCAAGAGUUCAUAUCGACGGCGGUGUUUGGCACCUCGAUGUCGGCUCAUCACAUCCUGGGGCUGAAGCCGGUCCCAAGGGUAUGGCUGUUCGCCAUUUAAAGUGGUACGCGAGCUGGGUUUAGAACGUCGUGAGACAGUUCGGUCCCUAUCUGCCGUGGACGUUUGAGAUUUGAGAGGGGCUGCUCCUAGUACGAGAGGACCGGAGUGGACGAACCUCUGGUGUUCCGGUUGUCACGCCAGUGGCAUUGCCGGGUAGCUAUGUUCGGAAAAGAUAACCGCUGAAAGCAUCUAAGCGGGAAACUUGCCUCAAGAUGAGAUCUCACUGGAACCUUGAGUUCCCUGAAGGGCCGUCGAAGACUACGACGUUGAUAGGUUGGGUGUGUAAGCGCUGUGAGGCGUUGAGCUAACCAAUACUAAUUGCCCGUGAGGCUUGACCAUAUAACACCCAAGCAAUU
rnacentral:rRNA from 1 species